rnacentral:rRNA from 1 species
CCCCUCCUACGGGACGCAGCAGUGGGGAAUAUUGCACAAUGGGGGAAACCCUGAUGCAGCAACGCCGCGUGAGUGAAGAAGUAUUUCGGUAUGUAAAGCUCUAUCAGCAGGGAAGAAGGAAGACGGUACCUGACUAAGAAGCCCCGGCUAACUACGUGCCAGCAGCCGCGGUAAUACGUAGGGGGCGAGCGUUAUCCGGAUUUACUGGGUGUAAAGGGAGCGUAGACGGCAGAGCAAGUCUGAAGUGAAAGCCCGCGGCCCA